rnacentral:lncRNA from 1 species
AAAGAAUCAAUGAACGCUGAGAGGAAUCUUUUCCCCCAUCAGCAAUCACAUUCCUGCAGACCUGGUGAGGUGUGCUCAGCAAUGCAGUCAGCACCACACUAAUGUCCUGACUCAGCAAAUUCUUGAAGUACUGUCUGACAUUUAAAGAUCGUCUUAGAUGAAGAAAAAUCUAGACCAAGAUGUUUGUUAUGUUCUGCCUUGGAUUUUCAUGCCAUUCAUGAAGAAGUCUGGUGAUUUCUACAUUCAAAAGCUCUUGCAGAAACAGGAGCUCUUCAGUUAGAACUUUACUAAGUUGUUCCCCUAAGUGAAAGUCUACAGACUCUGUCAUAUACAGAUUUAGGCAAUCGAAACAGUGCCUUUCUGGCAUUAAGAAAUCUUCAGAUCAUAUGUAAACCUGCAUUAAAUCAAGAUACAAAGACCAUGCCUGAGAGGAAGAAGAAAAGAAUGCUUCAGAUCACUGCAUAAAUUACGCUGAGCUACUUAGUUUCACAUACCAGGAACAACAAUGUUGAAAAAAAAGAGUGAGUAAAUGCUUCAGUAAUAUCACAGCAUUUCCACUGUGAUAUAUCGUGAUAUAUGACUACUUGUGUGUCACCUGCUUUAACCCUUUCCUGGAUUGGGGUAAGGGUCAUGUACCAGGUCUCCUGUGAAGGUUAGCAGAAAACUGAACUGCAACACAAUUAAUUUUUUUGGAACAUCUGAUUACCUUGAUUACCUUCUCACAUGGCUCCACACCAUGAAGCCACAAAACUGC